UACGGAGGGAGCUAGCGUUGUUCGGAAUCAUUGGGUUUAAAGGGUCCGUAGGCGGCCUUAUAAGUCAGUGGUGAAAGCCCCAUCGCUCAACGAUGGAACUGCCAUUGAUACUGUAAGGCUUGAAUUAUUGUGAAGUAACUAGAAUAUGUAGUGUAGCGGUGAAAUGCUUAGAUAUUACAUGGAAUACCAAUUGCGAAGGCAGGUUACUAACAAUGGAUUGACGCUGAUGGACGAAAGCGUGGGGAGCGAACAGGAUUAGAUACCCCCGUACGU
rnacentral:rRNA from 1 species